GUUUUCUAAAAAAGCAUCUUGGAGAAACAUGGCUUAAAAAAUUUCUAGGCAGUAGCUAUUAAAAGCUGACCUUAGUAGAGAAAAGAAUCAGAAAAGAAUCAGAAGAUUAAGAUAUUUUGUUUUCCUGAAGUGGUUACACCAAACUGUAAAGAUUAAAAUUUAGGGGAAACUGAGGCAGGUAGAAAUUAGUUUAUCUCUGCAAGUAGUAUUAUAUUUUUAGAGAUUUUUUAAAGUUUGAGAAUUUAAGAAAACACAAGUAAUAAAGGCACGUGCUAGGUGGGCGGAGAGGCCCAAUUCAAUUUCACUCACAUCAUGAGGGACGCAUCUGCUCCAAAGCAGAAGUAGGAAAGAGACCCUCAGUAGGCGGAGAACUCCUUUAAAUAAUAAUUUGUGUUCUUGCCCAGGUGAGAAUUUGGUGCAAUUACAAAGCAUUCUGGGACGUGAGCAAGGACUUCUGGGGACUGGAGUCCUGGAUUCAAGUCUCCAUUUUUAUAAUAUUCUUGUGUGAAGUACAGUGAUAAAAGAACUCUAUAUAUCCUCUGGUACCAGGACUACAUCAAGGACGAGGAGGAGCUAAACAGAUAAAUGUCACUGGAUUAACAGAUGGGAAGCAAAGCAGAAUUUUGAAAUCUCCCUGCUGUUGUUAUAGUCAUCUCACCCUGGAGUACAGAGGAGGAGGAAGGAGUAUGUCUGAGCUCAGAAGUUCCUUUGAAAAAGAGGGCACAUUUGUCUACAAACCAAAUGGCUUCAAUGUAGGGGAUGGUGUUUCCCAUUUCUGCUCACAAGAAUGAGAACUGGAGGCUGAUGGGAAGGAGAGACCCCUAUGAAUAGGAGAAGGGUCUGGGACUGAAGCUGGAGAUCAUUAUUUCUUUAUAACCAAAUAUCUCAGGAGUGCCUGGUAAAAGAAUUAAAAAUAUGAAGGAAAUAGAUAUUUUUUCCAUUUCUGACUAACUCUCAAAAAACCCCCAACAAACCUUAGAAGAGAAAUUAUGUGCCAGAUGUGGAACAAUCACAGUAAAUGCCACAGGACUGAAAAUAAAGAGAAAGCCAACAAAAUAGAAGCCUAAUGA
rnacentral:lncRNA from 1 species